rnacentral:rRNA from 1 species
UACGAAGGGGGCUAGCGUUGCUCGGAAUGACUGGGCGUAAAGGGCGCGUAGGCGGUGUACACAGUCAGGCGUGAAAGCCCCGGGCUCAACCUGGGAAGUGCACUCGAAACUACAGAGCUGGAGUCUCGGAGAGGAUCGCGGAAUUCUCGGUGUAGAGGUGAAAUUCGUAGAUAUCGAGAGGAACACCGGUGGCGAAGGCGGCGAUCUGGACGAUGACUGACGCUGAGACGCGAAAGCGUGGGGAGCAAACAGG